AGGAGUGAUGUUUGGACAGCAGGAGCACAGCUCUGUGCCACCGGCGCGAAGGGACGAGCGGUCCGGGGCUGCGGAGAAGAAGAGGAGGCGCAGGGAUGGCAGAGUUGGAAAGGGGGAGACUUCGCCCCGGUACCGUCCCCGAAGCUUGUGGAGCUCUUCAUGCUCCCUCUCCCUUGCUCUCGUCGGGGCUGGAUCGUUACCGCUUGUUCCCCACUCCGACCGGGCACAAAAGCGCUGCUUGGAGCUGCAGGCAGCUGAACCAGGGCGGAAAAUCUGGUCGGACGGACAGAAAAACAUCAUUUUCCAGUGGGCACAGACCGUCCCUGCCUCCACUUUGGAUCCGAUUGCUUGUUGAGCACGCUCAGAGAAAUGCAGCAGACUUCAGCUUUACCCCUCGAUCUGUAUAAAUGCAACGUCGGAUAAUAAAAAGAUUCUUCUUACGUA